AGGACGAACGCUGGCGGCGUGCUUAACACAUGCAAGUCGAGCGGAAAGGCCCUUCGGGGUACUCGAGCGGCGAACGGGUGAGUAACACGUGAGCAAUCUGCCCUUAGCUUCGGGAUAGCUCCGGGAAACCGGAAUUAAUACCGAAUACGACUACGGCCGACAUCGGCUGUGGUGGAAAGUUUUUCGGCUAGGGAUGAGCUCGCGGCCUAUCAGCUUGUUGGUGGGGUAAAGGCCCACCAAGGCGACGACGGGUA
rnacentral:rRNA from 1 species